CUGGGGAUGCUUACCAUGCAAGUCCUCGGAUGGGGGCAACCACGAUUAAUGGCGGACGGGUGAGUAACGCGUAGAUAUCUAUCCUUGGGUGGGGGAUAACUGUGGGAAACUAAGGCUAAUACCGCAUGAUCCCUGAGGGGCAAAGGCGCAAGUCGCCUGAGGAGGAGCCUGCGUCCGAUAGAGUAGUUGGUGGGGUAAAGGCCUACCAAGGCUGCGAUCGGUAGCUGGUCUGAGAGGAUGAUCAACCACACUGGGACUGAGACACGGCCCAGACUCCUACGGGAGGCAGUAGUGGGGAAUAUUGGACAAUGAGCGCAAGCCUGAUCCAGCAAUGCCGAGUGGGUGGAGAAGGUCUUCGGAUUGUAAAGCCCUUUCGGCGGGGACGAUGAUGACGGUACCAGCAGAAGAAGCCCCGGCUAACUUCGUGCCAGCAGCCGCGGUAAU
rnacentral:rRNA from 1 species